AGCAAUGUUUAUUAUUACUUCAUACAGGAGACUGUGUCAAGUAUUUUACAUGUACUAAUUGUAUAUUCCUCUCAACACCUGGUGUUGAAAAUAUCAUCCCUUAGUUUACAGAUCAGGAAAAUAAAAUACAGAAAGACUUCCCCAGAGCCAGAGAGUCACCUGCUUGGAAACAGCGGGCAAGGAUUAAAAGCGAACUUCUUGGAAUCUGACGGCUGUGCCUUCAACCA
rnacentral:lncRNA from 1 species